rnacentral:rRNA from 1 species
AGAACGAACGCUGGCGGCAUGCCUAACACAUGCAAGUCGAACGAGACCUUCGGGUCUAGUGGCGCACGGGUGCGUAACGCGUGGGAAUCUACCCUUGGGUUCGGAAUAACAGUUGGAAACGACUGCUAAUACCGGAUGAUGUCGCAAGACCAAAGAUUUAUCGCCCAAGGAUGAGCCCGCGUAGGAUUAGCUAGUUGGUGAGGUAAAGGCUCACCAAGGCGACGAUCCUUAGCUGGUCUGAGAGGAUGAUCAGCCACACUGGGACUGAGACACGGCCCAGACUCCUACGGGAGGCAGCAGUAGGGAAUAUUGGACAAUGGGCGCAAGCCUGAUCCAGCAAUGCCGCGUGAGUGAUGAAGGCCUUAGGGUUGUAAAGCUUCUUUACCCGAGAUGAUAAUGACAGUAGUCGGGAGAAUAACGCCCCGGACUAACCGUCCGUGCCAGCAGCCGC